GCAACAUUCCACCUUUCCGUCAGUAUUAUAACAGCAAUAUUCUUUAGCUGGAUCACCAAUAAUAGGCGUAGGACAUCUGUUGACAGAGAAAGAUUCAACCUUGGAGAUGAAUGGAUUGUUGUCUACUAACCAUGGCAAAGUACAAUCAUUUGAUCCUAAUAUAAAAAUAAAUAAGAUUAGUGAAUACAAUAUACAGUGAAACGCCAACAACAACUAAACACAACAACUUAAAUUUGUAAUAUAAAGAAAUUUUUAUAAUAACAUAAAUUUAGUUCUAAUUUUGUAAUGGUUCUGAAAAAUAUUGUUAAAUUAAAGUUUCGAUACAAUAAUUAUAUUUACAUGUUACACGUUAAAUCUACGUUAUUACAGUAAGAAUAUAUAGGUACAUUUUUUUAUUAAUCAAACAUUAAGUAAAUUCACUAAUGAGUAUGGCUAAAAAUGUUAACAUUAAGUAUUUGAUUAACUGAUAAAAGUACAUUAAUACCUAUAGUAUAUUAUUAAUGGAAAAUAAACAUUUAGAGUUGAUGACUGACUUGAAAUCAGUACAAACUAUGUGGAAAAUAAUAUUUUUUUUUUUAAAUUAAGCAAGUAUUAGGUGGACUAUUAUUAAGUCACAAUGCUCCUAUUAUGAUCUUUUUACUAAUUAAAAAAAAAAAGGAAGUACCUAUAGGUAAUAACUAUGACAAACAAAAGGUAUCUAAUGCAAUUAGAUGUGUAUGUAUAAUAUAUAUUACAUGCUAUACUCUAUCUCAAAUAAUUUUGGAAAAAAAUGACAGAAACCCACCACAAUUCGGGCAUGAGCAGUUUUAUUAGAUGCUGUUGCUGCGCUGCCGACAACUGGCCAAUCAGUGAUCCUACGGUUCCGAGGCCGAAUAAAUUUCCAAACUCGGGUAUUCGAAAUAGUGUAUAUACAAUACUGCCGUCAUAAGCGAAAACACCGUAGGUCACCAAAAAACGAUUUUAAGAAAAACGCAUUUUUGUAUUUUCAUAAAAUCAUAACACCUUGUACAUUCUAAUUAUUUAAAUAUGAUAUAUGGUUUUUUAUGUAAUUUUACCCAACAAAUGCAAUGAAACAAUAAUAAAUAUGAUUAAAUUAAUAAUUGACAAGAUAUUUUACUUUACUCGUUGUACCUUAGUAUUGGUAUAAACUUUUGCUAAACUAUUCAAAAGCAAGAAUGCCGUAACUCGUAAUUAUCAAUUUCUGAUAUGAUAAAAUUAUUUAUAUUUUUUUCUUUAACCUUGCAUCGAUAAUAUUCAUACGUAAUAUAAUUACGAUCUAAUUCAGGGAACUUUUCUAUAAAAUGUUGGUGCAUAAAAGUUAUAGUGACAUCACUUGGUAAAUAACAAAUGUUUGGCCCGUCUUCACGGCGAUAAUGUGAAACCAGUCCGUGUUACUAGGCCAAAAUGCCGCCAAUUAAAAUUUGUACUAUGUACUAAAAGAUAAAAUGCUGUAUCUUCAAUAUUACUUACUGCGUUGAUACUUAGUAUGGUGAUUUUAUGGCGUUAUUACCUAGUACUCAUGAAUUUUUCUAUGGUUUACGGCGUUUAAGUUAUUUGAUUAUUGAUUGUAUUAUAUGUUUGGAGUAAUAUUUCAGACACACGGCAUAUUCAACUACACAAGCCGAAUUUCAGAAUAAUUUUUUGUUUAUAACCUCAUUUUUUAUUUUUUUGGGACUUACGGCAUUUUGCUUAUGACGGCAGAAUACACCAGGCAUAAAAUUAUUAUUUACUUGUUUAAUUAUUAAAACAAUAAUAAGGACCAUUGUGGACAAAGUGCAAGCUGUAGCCUAUGCAAAUAGUAAUUGAUACUAUCAGUCAGUAAUAAGACCUUGGACAUUGGAGUGACAAAUUGAAAACAACAAUGAUUACAAAUCAUCUGCUUACCCGUUAACAAUAAAAUAGUAGUGCCUCAAAUAAGAACAUGUUUAGAAACCUCCUCAUCAACGUCUAGGGCCUAGAAUCUAAUCUAACCUAACUAGAUUCAAGACAACAAAAUUAGCAAUACUUAAAAAAAAACUUGUUUUUUUUUGGUUUUGAGAAAUUUUUGAGGAGCACAUAUCACAAACAAAAUUCAUCCAUUGCAUCAGACUAGAAAUUUGUUUUAAUGUGAAAUUUUAGCAGGUUUACCGAUGGACAUUUGUUUUUAACAAUCGAGACUGAUUCCCGAUUGCCGAACAACUCACCUUCAACCACGCAGUUGCAGAACGCAAAAGCCACUACCAACAGCGUUAAUCCUUUGACGGCCAUUGUAUCGUCGGGCGUAUGUAUGAUUUAUGUU